UACGGAAGGGGCAAGCGUUGUUCGGAAUCAUUGGGCGUAAAGAGCGUGUAGGCGGCUUGUUAAGUCUUGCGUGAAAUCUCGGGGCUCAACCCCGAGCGGUCGUGAGAAACUGGCAGGCUAGAGUGCGGGAGAGGAGAGUGGAAUUCCUGGUGUAGCGGUGAAAUGCGCAGAUAUCAGGAAGAACACCCGUGGCGAAGGCGGCUCUCUGGAACGCAACUGACGCUGAGACGCGAAAGCGUGGGGAGCAAACAGG
rnacentral:rRNA from 1 species